rnacentral:rRNA from 1 species
CCUACGGGUGACAGCAGUGAGGAAUAUUGGUCAAUGGACGAGAGUCUGAACCAGCCAAGUAGCGUGAAGGAUGACUGCCCUAUGGGUUGUAAACUUCUUUUAUAUGGGAAUAAAACAGGGUAUGCAUACCCUCUUGUAUGUAUCCUAUGAGUAAGGAUCGGCUAACACCGUGCCAGCAGCCGCGGUAAUACGGAGGAUCCGAGCGUUAUCCGGAUUUAUUUGGUUUAAAGGGGGCGUAGGUGGAUUGGUAAGUCAGUUGUGAAAGUUUGCGGCUCAACCGUGAAAUUGCAGUUGAAACUGGCGGUCUUGAGUACAGUAAGGGUGGCCGGAAUUCGUGGUGUAGCGGUGAAAUGCUUAGAUAUCACGAAGAACUCCGAUUGCGAAGGCAGCUCACUGGACUGCAACUGACACUGAUGCUCGAAAGUGUGGGUAUCAAACAGGAUUAGAUACCCGAGUAGUC